AGAAACGUUGCGGACGAAGCGAACUACAUCGGGACGCUUUGGCCGCCGAGCGAAAAAACACCAUUGAGCUCGACCUCAGAUCAGGUAGGAGUACCCGCUGAACUUAAGCAUAUCAAUAAGCGGAGGAAAAGAAACCAACAGGAUUGCCCCAGUAGCGGCGAGUGAAGCGGCAAGAGCUCAGAUUUGAAAUCGUGCUAUUUUUUUGGCACGAGUUGUAGAGUGUAGGCGGGAGUCUUUGUGGAGCACGGUGUCCAAGUCCCUUGGAACAGGGCGCCUGAGAGGGUGAGAGCCCCGUGGGGUGCCGUGCGAAGCUCUGAGGCCCUGCUGACGAGUCGAGUUGUUUGGGAAUGCAGCUCCAAGUGGGUGGUAAAUUCCAUCUAAGGCUAAAUACUGGCGAGAGACCGAUAGCGAACAAGUACUGUGAAGGAAAGAUGAAAAGCACUUUGAAAAGAGAGUGAAACAGCACGUGAAAUUGUUGAAAGGGAAGGGUAUUGGGCCCGACAUGGGGAGUGCGCACCGCUGUCUCUUGUAGGCGGCGCUCUGGGCGCUCUCUGGGCCAGCAUCGGUUCUUGCUGCGGGAGAAUGGGUGCCGGAAAGUGGCUCUUCGGAGUGUUAUAGCCGGCGCCAGAUACCGCGUGCGGGGACCGAGGACUGCGGCUUCUGUCUCGGAUGCUGGCACAACGGCGCAAUACCGCCCGUCUUGAAACAUGGACCAAGGAGUCUAACGUCUAUGCGAGUGUUGGGUGUAAAACCCGUACGCGUAAUGAAAGUGAACGUAGGUCGGACCCCUU
rnacentral:rRNA from 1 species